AUUGAACGCUGGCGGCAGGCUUAACACAUGCAAGUCGAGCGGGGACUUCGGUCCUAGCGGCGAACGGGUGAGGAAUGCUUGGGAAUCUGCCUGGUAGUGGGGGAUAACGUUUCGAAAGGAACGCUAAUACCGCAUACGUCCUACGGGAGAAAGGGGGGGAUCUUCGGACCUCUCGCUAUCAGAUGAGCCCAAGUCGGAUUAGCUAGUUGGUGAGGUAAAGGCUCACCAAGGCGACGAUCCGUAGCUGGUCUGAGAGGAUGAUCAGCCACACUGGAACUGAGAGACGGUCCAGACUCCUACGGGAGGCAGCAGUGGGGAAUAUUGGACAAUGGGCGAAAGCCUGAUCCAGCCAUGCCGCGUGUGUGAAGAAGGCCUUCGGGUUGUAAAGCACUUUAAGCGAGGAGGAAUGGCUCUGGGUUAAUACCCUUGAGCAGUGACGUUACUCGCAGAAUAAGCACCGGCUAACUCUGUGCCAGCAGCCGCCGUAACAC
rnacentral:rRNA from 1 species